AAUCAACGCUGGCGGCGUGCCUCAGACAUGCAAGUCGAACGAUUAAAGCUCUCUUCGGAGAGUGUAUAGAGUGGCGCACGGGUGAGUAACACGUAAGUAAUCUACCUUCGAGUGGGGAAUAACAUCGGGAAACCGAUGCUAAUACCGCAUAAUGCAGCGGCAUCGCAAGAUGACAGUUGUUAAAGGAGCAAUUCGCUUGAAGAGGAGCUUGCGGCAGAUUAGCUAGUUGGUAAGGUAAUGGCUUACCAAGGCUACGAUCUGUAACCGGUCUAAGAGGACGGUCGGUCACACUGACACUGAAUAACGGGUCAGACUCCUACGGAGGCAGCAGUCGGAAUUUUGGGCAAUGGGCGAAAGCCUGACCCAGCAACGCCGCGUGAAGGAUGAAGUAUUUCGGUAUGUAAACUUCGAAGAAUAGAAGAAUAAUGACGUACUA
rnacentral:rRNA from 1 species